rnacentral:rRNA from 1 species
GAUGAACGCUAGCUACAGGCUUAACACAUGCAAGUCGAGGGGCAGCAUAAAACUAGCUUGCUAGUUUUGAUGGCGACCGGCGCACGGGUGAGUAACGCGUAUCCGACCUACCCAUAACUCGGGCACAGCCGCUCGAAAGAGCGAUUGAUCCCCGAUAUGUCUUUGGAGUAGAUUCAAUGAUGAAAGAUUCAUCGGUUAUGGAUGGGGAUGCGUAAGAUUAGGUAGUAGGCGGGGUAACGGCCCACCUAGCCGACGAUCUUUAGGGGUUCUGAGAGGAAGGUCCCCCACACUGGUACUGAGACACGGACCAGACUCCUACGGGAGGCAGCAGUGAGGAAUAUUGGUCAAUGGGCGGAAGCCUGAACCAACCAAGUAGCGUGAAGGAUUACAGCCCUACGGGUUUUAAACUUCUUUUAUAUAAGAGUAAUGUGCACUACGUGUAGUGUAUUGCAAGUAUUAUAUGAAUAAGCAUCGGCUAACUCCGUGCCAGCAGCCGCGGUAACAC